rnacentral:rRNA from 1 species
UACGUAGGGGGCUAGCGUUGUCCGGAAUCAUUGGGCGUAAAGAGCGCGUAGGCGGCCAGAUAAGUCCGGUGUGAAAGUCAAAGGCUCAACCUUGGGCUUGCAGUGGGUACGGGCAGACUAGAGUGCGGUAGGGGUGACUGGAAUUCCUGGUGUAGCGGUGGAAUGCGCAGAUAUCAGGAGGAACACCAAUUGCGAAGGCAGCUCGCUGGGACGUUACUGACGCUGAGACGCGAAAGCGUGGGGAGCAAACAGG